GACGAACGCUGGCGGCGUGCUUAACACAUGCAAGUCGAGCGGUAAGGCCCUUUCGGGGGUACACGAGCGGCGAACGGGUGAGUAACACGUGGGUGACCUGCCCUCAGCUCUGGGGAUAAGCCCGGGAAACUGGGUCUAAUACUGGAUAUGACUCCAUGACGCAUGUUGUGGGGUGGAAAGCCUUGUGCGGCUAGGGAUGGGCCCGCGGCCUAUCAGCUUGUUGGUGGGGUGAUGGCCUACCAAGGCGACGACGGGUAGCCGGCCUGAGAGGGCGACCGGCCACACUGGGACUGAGACACGGCCCAGACUCCUACGGGAGGCAGCAGUGGGGAAUAUUGCGCAAUGGGCGAAAGCCUGACGCAGCGACGCCGCGUGUGGGAUGAC
rnacentral:rRNA from 1 species